rnacentral:rRNA from 1 species
UUGAGUUUGAUCCUGGCUCAGAUUGAACGCUGGCGGCAGGCCUAACACAUGCAAGUCGAGCGGUAACAGAAAGUAGCUUGCUACUUUGCUGACGAGCGGCGGACGGGUGAGUAAUGCUUGGGAACAUGCCUUGAGGUGGGGGACAACAGUUGGAAACGACUGCUAAUACCGCAUAAUGUCUACGGACCAAAGGGGGCUUCGGCUCUCGCCUUUAGAUUGGCCCAAGUGGGAUUAGCUAGUUGGUGAGGUAAUGGCUCACCAAGGCGACGAUCCCUAGCUGGUUUGAGAGGAUGAUCAGCCACACUGGGACUGAGACACGGCCCAGACUCCUACGGGAGGCAGCAGUGGGGAAUAUUGCACAAUGGGCGCAAGCCUGAUGCAGCCAUGCCGCGUGUGUGAAGAAGGCCUUCGGGUUGUAAAGCACUUUCAGUCAGGAGGAAAGGUUAGUAGUUAAUACCUGCUAGCUGUGACGUACUGACAGAAGAG